CGGAGCUGUGUACUGAAUUAAGAACACGCAGAUUGUGACCUGCUGAAUGAGGGCACAUGCCACUCACACGGGGUCACGGGCAGCAGGCGGCUCCCUCAGCAUCCGAGCUCCCAGUCUGGGGAAGCGAAAACCCAGGAGUUAUUUUGAAUGCAGAGCUCUCCAAGACCACCCCCAAACCCCGUCCCUCGGGCCCUCCUUUUGGAGGGGGGGGCAUCUCCCUGGGUCAGAGGCCCGUGUGUCCCAGCAGAGCCUGAGGGCCUGGGCAGGAGCCUGCAAUCAGAGGACGAGUCCACCUCCUGCCACCCUGGAGCCUGGGAGAAGCCCCCGAGAGAGAGUGGGACGUGGGUGACCGGCCAGGACCCUGAAGCCUCUGUGCGGCUGGGGGAGCAGGGACAGCUAUGUUCUAACCGGCAUGUGGGUUAUGUCUCCCAAGACGUUGGGCCUCGCCACCUUCGUCCACCGUCCUUGGUCAGCAAAGCCUCAUUUCAGGCUGUGAGGGGUGGCUGAGGCUCGGGACGUGUGGAAGCUGCACCCUUGGGUGACCGCAGCUUGCCUGUGGGACCCUUCUGUUUCCAAACUGCCCGCUGACCCCAAGGACGAGCCUCCCUUGAAGACCUGCUGGGAGGAGCCCACAGGCGGUGAGGCUGUGGUCAGCGCCCCUGGGCCCAUCCUGACCCUCUGGAUCGUGGUCCACUCAGUGACCGGCUCCCGCUCCCUCCACCACCCCCACAGCAGUCAGCCCUGCCUGCAUACAGCCCGUCCUUCAGUGUCUGAUGAAUUUAUUAUUAAGUACACAACAACCACCUGAAGCUUAUGACAACUAAAGCACAAGAUCCAUUCCCAAAAAUGACUGCUCACCCCAAAC
rnacentral:lncRNA from 1 species